rnacentral:tRNA from 4 species
GGGCCGCUAGCUCAACGGUAGAGCAACUCCCUCUUAAGGAGUUGGUUCCGAGUUCGAGUCUCGGGCGGCUCACAA